AUUGAACGCUGGCGGCAUGCUUUACACAUGCAAGUCGAACGGCAGCGGGGAGGAGCUUGCUUCUCUGCCGGCGAGUGGCGAACGGGUGAGUAAUACAUCGGAACGUGUCGAGAAGAGGGGGAUAACCACCCGAAAGGGUGGCUAAUACCGCAUAAAUUCUGAGGAAGAAAGCUGGGGACCUAGGAAUAGGCCUAGCGCUUUUUGAGCGGCCGAUGUCGGAUUAGCUAGUUGGUGAGGUAAAGGCUCACCAAGGCGAAGAUCUGUAGCGGGUCUGAGAGGAUGAUCCGCCACACUGGGACUGAGACACGGCCCAGACUCCUACGGGAGGCAGCAGUGGGGAAUUUUGGACAAUGGGGGCAACCCUGAUCCAGCCAUGCCGCGUGUAUGAAGAAAGCCUUAGGGUUGUAAAGUACUUUUGUUAGGGAAGAAAAGUCAGCUGUGAAUAAUGGCUGAUACUGACGGUACCUAAAGAAUAAGCACCGGCUAACUACGUG
rnacentral:rRNA from 1 species